UCCGUAGGCGGGCAAUUAAGUCAGAGGUGAAAUCCCACAGCUCAACUGUGGAACUGCCUUUGAUACUGGUUGUCUUGAGUUACAGUGAAGUAGAUAGAAUAUGUAGUGUAGCGGUGAAAUGCAUAGAUAUUACAUAGAAUACCGAUUGCGAAGGCAGUCUACUAACUGUAUACUGACGCUAAUGGACGAAAGCGUGGGGAGCGAACAGGAUUAGAUACCCUGAUAGUCC
rnacentral:rRNA from 1 species